rnacentral:piRNA from 1 species
UCAACAGAGGGUGUCUGUCUAU